GACGAAGGUGGCGACCGUUGUUCGGAAUCACUGGGCAUAAAGCGCGCGCAGGCGGCGAGGCAAGCCAGGUGUGAAAGCCCUCGGCCCAACCGAGGAACUGCGCUUGGAACUGCCUUGCUUGAGGACGGGAGGGGAGCGUGGAAUUCCUGGUGGAGCGGUGAAAUGCGUUGAUAUCAGGAGGAACACCGGCGGCGAAGGCGACGCUCUGGCCCGUUACUGACGCUGAGGCGCGAAAGCCAGGGGAGCAAACGGG
rnacentral:misc_RNA from 1 species